rnacentral:rRNA from 1 species
ACGGCGAGUGUAGCGGCAAAAGCUCAAAUUUGAAAUCUGGCGUCUUCGACGUCCGAGUUGUAAUUUGAAGAAGGUUACUUUGUAGCUGGUCCUUGUUUAUGUUCCUUGGAACAGGACGUCAUAGAGGGUGAGAAUCCCGUGUGGCGAGGAUACCAGUUAUAUGUAAAGUACUUUCGACGAGUCGAGUUGUUUGGGAAUGCAGCUCUAAGUGGGUGGUAAAUUCCAUCUAAAGCUAAAUAUUGGCGAGAGACCGAUAGCGAACAAGUACAGUGAUGGAAAGAUGAAAAGAACUUUGAAAAGAGAGUGAAAAAGUACGUGAAAUUGUUGAAAGGGAAGGGCAUUUGAUCAGACAUGGCGUUUGCUUCGGCUUUCGCUGGGCCAGCAUCAGUUUUGGCGGCUGGAUAAAUCCUCGGGAAUGUGGCUCUACCGUGGUAGAGUGUUAUAGCCCGUGGGAAUACAGCCAGCUGGGACUGAGGAUUGCGACUUUUGUCAAGGAUGCUGGCGUAAUGGUUAAAUGCCGCCCGUCU